rnacentral:rRNA from 1 species
AACGAACGCUGGCGGCAUGCCUAACACAUGCAAGUCGAACGAUACCUUCGGGUCUAGUGGCGCAAGGUUGCGUAACGCGUGGGAACCUGCCCUUAGGUUCGGAAUAACUCCCCGGAAGGGGUGCUAAUACCGGAUAAUGUCUGCGGAGCAAAGAUUUAUCGCCUUUGGAUGGGCCCGCAUUUGAUUAGCUAGUUGGUAGGGUAAAAGCCUAACAAGGCGAAGAUCCAUAGCUGGUCUGAGAGGAUGAACAGCCACGAUGGGACUGAGACCCGGCCAGGACUCCUGCGGGAAGGAGAGGGGCGGAAUACUGGAAACUGGGUGCAAGCUUGACAGAGCAAGGACGGGUGAGUGAUGAAGGCCUUAGGGUGGUAAAGCUCUUUUAACCGGGAUGAUAAUGACAGUACCGGGAGAAUAAGCUCCGGCUAACUCCGUG